rnacentral:rRNA from 1 species
CUGGCUCAGGAAGAACGCUGGCGGCGUGCCUAACACAUGCAAGUCGAGCGGACUAAAUAUCUAACAUUGAGUAUUUGAUUUCUUGGUUGAAGAUAGCCAGCGUCAAACACAAGCGAAUUGCCUUAAAAGGCAAGCGAGUGUUUCACGCAAUAUAGUUCCAACACAUAGAACUAAGAAUUGAGUAUUGAAUGUUAGAUAUUUAGUUAGCGGCGGACGGGUGAGUAACGCGUGGGCAACCUACCCUGUACAGGGGAAUAACAAUGGGAAACCAUUGCUAAUACCCCAUAACACCUUUAAGGGGCAUCCCUUAAAGGUCAAAGAACUUCGGUAUAGGAUGGGCCCGCGUCUGAUUAGCUAGUUGGUGAGGUAAAGGCUCACCAAGGCAACGAUCAGUAGCCGGCCUGAGAGGGUGAACGGCCACACUGGAACUGAGACACGGUCCAGACUCCUACGGGAGGCAGCAGUGGGGAAUAUUGCACAAUGGGGGAAACCCUGAUGCAGCAACGCCGCGUGAGCGAUGAAGGCUUUCGGGUCGUAAAGCUCUGUCCUAAGGGAAGAUAAUGACGGUACCUUAGGAGGAAGCCCCGGCUAACUACGUGCCAGCAGCCGCGGUAAUACGUAGG